rnacentral:rRNA from 1 species
UUCAGACUGCAGGCUGCAACUCGCCUGCACGAAGUCGGAAUUGCUAGUAAUCGUAGGUCAGCAUACUACGGUGAAUACGUUCCCGGGCCUUGUACACACCGCCCGUCACACCAUGGGAGUCAGUAACGCCCGAAGCCGGUGACCCAACCUAUUCUGGAGGGAGCCGUCGAAGGCGGGACGGAUGACUGGGGUGAAGUCGUAACAAGGUAUC